rnacentral:rRNA from 1 species
AGUGAACGCUGGCGGUAGGCCUAACACAUGCAAGUCGAACGGCAGCACAGUAAGAGCUUGCUCUUACGGGUGGCGAGUGGCGGACGGGUGAGGAAUACAUCGGAAUCUACUUUUUCGUGGGGGAUAACGUAGGGAAACUUACGCUAACACCGCAUACGACCUACGGGUGAAAGCAGGGGAUCUUCGGACCUUGCGCGAUUGAAUGAGCCGAUGUCGGAUUAGCUAGUUGGCGGGGUAAAGGCCCACCAAGGCGACGAUCCGUAGCUGGUCUGAGAGGAUGAUCAGCCACACUGGAACUGAGACACGGUCCAGACUCCUACGGGAGGCAGCAGUGGGGAAUAUUGGACAAUGGGCGCAAGCCUGAUCCAGCCAUACCGCGUGGGUGAAGAAGGCCUUCGGGUUGUAAAGCCCUUUUGUUGGGAAAGAAAAGCAGCAGGUUAAUACCCCGCUGUUCUGACGGUACCCAAAGAAUAAGCACCGGCUAACUUCGUGC